UACACUAAUCCGGCGAAACAGGAAGUAAAGUAGCGCCGCCAUUGCUGAGUUGCUGGAAUCACGUGACUUGCCGUGUUUUGCUAAGGAAGUAGGUGUUGGUCCCCGUAGGCGGUUGUUGCUGAUGCGAUAAGUUUCUCCUUUUUCUUUCGGGUUUUUUAGUGCAUAAGCUGUCCAAUUAUGCCGGGAAGAACAUGUUGUGUGGUCGGCUGUUUUAACAACAGUGUGAAAAUACAGGCUUGGCUUAAAGCCGCUUGUGAAAUUCACAAACCUUUGCUCCACGUUGACUGCCCAUGUAUACAGCCUUAUGGAUUGCAUCGAAUUCCUGGUCGAGCGGAGGACCAAGAUGUGCGUCAAAAGUGGUUGAAAUACAUUAACCGAGAUGGCUUCCAGCCAAACAAGAACACUUGGGUAAGUUUGGCUCUGACUGUCCAAUCUGUUAAUGCCACAGGUUGCAUGCAGUGGGUGUAACAUACAGUGAAACAGCGCUAGCUAAGUUUGCUAGCAAUAUCGAUAGUCACAGGCGAAAACAAAGCUGAAGCUUUUUAACGUCAAUGUUUGACGUUAAAUAAGAGAAAGUGCAGAGUGCUAUAGUAUUUAAAGUGCUGUCUUGUUCACACUUAUUUGAGAAGUACUUUUACAACCAAUGCAUUGCUCAUUAUGUAUUUAUCUUCAUCACUCUAAGGUUUGUGGGAUACAUUUUCCUGACGGACGACCCACAAGAGAAAACCCCUAUCCUGUGUUGAUCAUGGGUUAUGAAUGUCAUAUAACAACAGCUAGACCUCCCCCCAAAAGAAGAUGUCUUCAGCCAUUGCACCUGAACUCAACUACUGAACCUGAAGCUGAACCUGAAGCUAUGGAAACAGAUGUGGAUGUUGGGAAUUUGGAGAAUAUGCCUCUGCAGAAUUGUGAUGUCGGAACCCAGUGGCCAGAUCUAUGUGAUCACAACUACAGUUUCAGCAGCGGUAACAAGCGGCUGAAGGACUGUGGCACUCAAACGGAUCCAACACCGUCAGUAUCAGCACAUGAUUUAAACAAGAAAGACUUAAUAUUUUAUACAGGUUUAUGUGCUGACAGUUUCUGGCAACUUUUGCUAGCCUUGUUAACUUUUUGCUCACAACCACUUAAUACCAAAUUGGCCGUCCAUCAACAGCUUUUGCUUGUUUUAAUGAGACUCCGUUUGAGUUUAUUGUUUACUGACUUGGGUAAACGAUUUGGGGUGAGUAGAAGCACGGCAUCUGAAAUAUUUACAUUUUGGAGACCAAUCCUUGCCAGCUUUAUGAGGAAAUAGGUGAUUGCUUGGUUGCCCAGGGAUACGCUGAACAGAAUCAGGCCCAAGUCAUUUCACCAAAAUUAUCCUAAAGCUACAUGCAUCAUUGACUGUACUGAGGUCUUUGUACAAAGGCCACGGAAUUUAAGAAAAAGAUCACAAACCUAUAGUAAUUACAAACAUCAUAACACAUAUAAACUCCUAUACUGUAUUGCCCCCAAUGGCUAUGUCAUGUUUGUAUCAAAACCUUUUGGUGGAAGGGCCAGUGAUAAUUUCAUAACAAAGAACAGUGGUUUUGUUCAUCACCUGAUCCCUGGUGAUGAGAUUUUAGCAGAUUGCGGAUUCACCAUCAUGGAUAUAUUGCCUCCAGGAGUGAGUCUAGCUCUUCCUGCAUUCACACGUGGACGUAAGGAGCUGUCUGAACAUGAGGUGACAUCCACGCGACGCCUAGCGAAUGUCAGAAUUCACAUUGAGCGAGCAAUUCGAAGGCUGAACAAUUUUAAGAUUUUGUGUAAUGUUAUGUGUGGUAGGGUGCAAAGUGUUGAUGAGAUUGUAAGUAUUUGUGCAGGGUUAUGUAAUUUGCAACCUCAGUUAAUCCGUAACAGUACUGAAUGAAGAAGAAACACCUGAACUGUGUACAGUAUACCAAAUAUUAAUUUGUAUUUCAACAGAAAAAUCAACAGAGCAAACAACAGUUUCAGACAACAAUGUAAUUAGUUAAAAUGUACAGGUUUAAACUGUGAACAAAUGUCAAACUCUUUAUGUGUAUUACCGGUAAGUUGUCAUGUGAAAGCACAUUAAAGAGCACAUUAUAGAGCACAUAUGUAGAGCACAUAUGUAUAUGUAUAUAUAUGUGUAUGUGUGUAUAUGUGUGUGCAUGUGUAUAUGUAUAUAUAUGUUUAUGUUUACAUUUAUUUAUUUAUAUUUAUAUUAAUCCUCUAUACAGUUCUCUACAUUUAUCUUUUAUUUUACUUGAAUCCUGUUUUACUUCUAUUAUUAUCUCUUUCUAUAUUAGCUAAGGGUUUAUUGUUUACUGUUUUUGUUUACUUUUUAUAGUUAGUUAGUUAAGAGUUUAUUGUUUAUCUUAUAUU